rnacentral:tRNA from 1 species
CGGGAUGUAGCGCAGUUUGGCAAGCGCGCUUGGUUCGGGACCAAGAGGUCGCAGGUUCAAAUCCUGUCAUCCCGACCA